AAAUGAAUAGACGGGGGCCCGCACAAGCAGUGGAUUAUGUGGUUUAAUUCGAAGCAACGCGAAGAACCUUACCAGGGCUUGACAUCCCGCUAACGAAGUAGAGAUACAUCAGGUGCCCUUCGGGGAAAGCGGAGACAGGUGGUGCAUGGUUGUCGUCAGCUCGUGUCGUGAGAUGUUGGGUUAAGUCCCGCAACGAGCGCAACCCUUAUUGUUAGUUGCUACGCAAGAGCACUCUAACGAGACUGCCGUUGACAAAACGGAGGAAGGUGGGGAUGACGUCAAAUCAUCAUGCCCCUUAUGUCCUGGGCUACACACGUAAUACAAUGGUGCAUACAGAGGGAAGCAAGACAGCGAUGUGGAGCGAAUCCCUAAAAUGCGUCUCAGUUCGGAUUGCAGUCUGCAACUCGACUGCAUGAAGUCGGAAUUGCUAGUAAUCGCGGAUCAGCAUGCCGCGGUGAAUACGUUCCCGGGCCUUGUACACACCGCCCGU
rnacentral:rRNA from 1 species